GAUUCAGAAAUUUAGUGAGUAUUCUUAUUUUCAUGGCAAUAUAAUUAUUUGGAUAAGUUCAACAGAAUCUGUUCUCCUUGUAGCAGGACACAAGUGCAAACUGGUUCUAUUACCAAGGCUUUGACUUGAAUGUCAUAUUUGAGAGAGAAUGUGCAUGGACUCAGGUAUGACCAGAUAGCUUUAAGGAAUCAAGGUGGACUGUAUGGAGCAAAUAAAGCACCUUGGAAGUAUUGGCUUGGUAUCUUGCUUAUAGUGUUCCCCGCAGCCUUACCAGGUGAGUAAGGAAGGUCACUUCAUGGCAGGUGCAGGAACCUCAGGAUAUCUUGGAACAUCGAGAAGAGAAGAACUCACCCAAAUCUAUAGAGAACAAACAGCUACACCUGUGACUCAGCCCUAAACUCCUCUUACGGGAGACGCUCCGGACACAGAAAAGGGCUGUGGUGCCGCCGCUUCAGCCUCACGGCCAUCACGGUGGCUAGAUUGGAGGAUUAAUGUCAGUUAUGCACGGAGAGGGCGAAAAUGAGCCUCAGCAGGGAGACCUGGGGAACACAGAGCCACGCCUACUGUCCAGCCUGCAGGUGAACUGGACCUCCUGGAUCAACCUCAGCAAAGGGACAGGACGUGAAGCCCCCAGCUUACCUCUGAACCUCUCCGUCUCCUCUGAGCCCAAACUACUGCUCCACAGAGUGAGCUCAAAGGGCUCACUUCCAACUUUCCUCGGUUGGAGGCAAAUGCAAUAAAAAUGUGCAGUCUGUGCCCCUCUCCACACCCACUUACAC
rnacentral:lncRNA from 1 species